ACGGGCCACCUUCAGCGGCAUGAGUAAGACAGUUAGUCACGCUCUCUGGUCACCAUUCAGUCUAAAUAGUUUCCACUUAAACGCCCUAUUAAGGGUCAGAUCACCCUCAACCCCGCCCACACACCCGAGAACCCGCAACAAAUGAUCCGUGUGACGUUCGGGCACAUUAUUCCCUCUUCUCAGCAUAUCUGAUUAUGUCCUUUCAAAAGCCACUUUCUCUUAACGCGCAGAUGAGCUGAAAAAAGUCUAUAAAAGUCAUUUCUAUUGAGGGCGUCAUGUCUAGAGGGGCAGAAUGGAUGGAGGGAGGGGGCUUUUAGUGCCCGGCUUUUCAUUAAAGAGAACAAAAAACCCGGAGAGCAGAUUCCGCCCUCUGCUGUGCAGGAAUGCAGGCGUAUUGUGCUCGCUCCCGUCGUCGAGCUUGCCGAUCCAAGAUCGGUGUGGCCACGGGGUCGCAUGUGUGCGGUCGCGCGACAAAAGCUGAUUGGUCACGGGCAGGAAGGUCCGUGCGCGCGCGCGAAGAGCGCUGUGGGAAAGUGUCACCGCUAAACACUUUACAGCGGGACUUUUAUCACCCGAAUCUGACAGAACCGAAUCCGGUCAGUGUUGCAGGUGGACUCACCUGACUGUGACUGAACAGUUUUUCCAUCAGUCAUCCGAGGACACUUGUGGCUCUCCGGGUCUCCGGUCUGAUGGACGCCCUUCCCUUUCAUCACCAAGCCCAGGGGUCCGAAAAGCAAAGCGGACGAACAUUUCUUGGAGUGGACACCUGACGCGGCCCAUCCAACAGCCAGGGGAAGAGGCUGGAAAGCUCGAUGGAUCCGUUCGGGCGCAUGGUUCCUGUGAUGAGGUAGAGCUGAGCGCGACCGGGUCGGACCAGAUCAUGAGCACAUCUGAGGUUGAUGAGGAGCCAGCGUUGAAGGAGGCUGGCGGUGUCGUAAGGGAGCAGUGGACCUCGCUGGAUAAACUCCACGUGUCCCUCCACCAUCAGCUCUGGAUCCGAGGAGGGCAGACGACGGCGAGAGAUCUUGGCUUUCACAGCUACGUGGAGGAGAAGAAAAGCAGUGAAGGCACCUCCUCUACAGACGGACAGUUUUGACAGGCAGGCUGAGGAAAUUCUGCAUGCACAAGAAUACACAGUCAGUUUAAAUUCAGUCAGAUUUAAUCAAUCAUGAAUCUAUGGCUUUGCAUCUCAAAAUAAAUGUGAAUGUUUAAGGAAAAGUCUCACCUUUGGAGAAAGCGCUGAUAUGUUUGGGCAGAGGUGUCAGGCACGUAUCGUCCUGCUCGGGAAACCGAUCGCAAUCCAAAGCUUCGGGCCAAGCGUGUCCAUGACAGGCCAACACAGGGGCACAGCUGUCCCGUACGGCCCUGCACACGCUACGACACGGCUGAAUAAACCUGUAGAGAAACAAUCACAGGAGCGAUCAAUGAGCAAACGAAAGUCCUGGCCUGCGGGUGGCAGCCGGUAUGAAGCAAAGUUCUCCAUUCUUCAGAACGAGGAACCGCUUCUUCAAGACUGCUGUGACCCAACAGGUUGGGCAGCCUCAUUUCAGAAUACGGCACAUCCUGACAAACGCUCAUCUGAUGGGGAACCGGGACGCAGCGAGUCGUCUGGCCCAGGUCGAAGGCUCCGCUGUGGGCUACGAGAGAGACGACGAUCAGCAGGCUGAAAAGAUCCAUGAUCCCGGAGAGAGAGAAAGAGAUGGAAAGAGAGGUCCGGUGAGUCCUGAGAGAGUGAAUGAUGGAGAGGUCUGACGUCUCUGACUUUAUAUAGAGGCAGGCAGAUGUUAUCAACGACACAUCAGAGUCGCAGACAAGGUGACAAGAAGGAGAUAAUGGCCCUCAGACACAGAGGAGGGGUGAAGGGGGGGACAUUAAAUAAACAAGUCGAGCAUUACACGGCCCCAUUGAGAUCACACUUGUAAUGAGUCGGAUGGGCUGAACCAGCAGCUAUCAUCCUGAAACACAAACACACUUGUGUGCAAAAUUAUAGACUGAGAUGAAAUUGAUUUUUUUGGACUGAAACAUCUUUUUUUUUUUUGUAAAAAAUACUUAAUAUUACUAAGGUCUAGUCCUGGAUUAAUCGAAACCCUGUCCCUUUAUCAUAAAUGCAAUGUGUGCAAAUAUUACUCAUGUGGCAUCCUCAUCACAUUUAUGAUUAUAAAUUAUUGCAUAGCUUCAGAAAAAUGUUAUUCAAAAAACUAUUUGCUUAAUCAUUUGCUAUUCGUGCAGAAUAAAAAUGUCAAAAAAAUCAAUCAGGCUGUUGGUUGCAAUUUGCUUCAAACACUACAAAAGUCAU